rnacentral:rRNA from 1 species
AGUGAACGCUGGCGGUAUGCCUAACACAUGCAAGUCGAACGGCAGCACAGUAAGAGCUUGCUCUUACGGGUGGCGAGUGGCGGACGGGUGAGGCAUACAUCGGAAUCUACUUUUUCGUGGGGGAUAACGUAGGGAGGCUUACGCUACUACCGCAUAUGUCCUACGGGUGAAAGCAGGGGAUCUUCGGACCUUUCGCGAUUGAAUGAGCCGAUGUCGGAUUAGCUAGUUGGCGUGGUAAAGUCCCACCAAGGCGACGAUCCGUAGCUGGUCUGAGAGGAUGAUCGGCCACACUGGAACUGAGACACGGUCCAGACUCCUACGGGAGGCAGCAGUGGGGAAUAUUGGACAAUGGGCGCAAGCCUGAUCCAGCCAUACCGCGUGGGUGAAGAAGGCCUUCGGGUUGUAAAGCCCUUUUGUUGGGAAAGAAAAGCAGCAGGUUAAUACCCCGCUGUUCUGACGGUACCCAAAGAAUAAGCACCGGCUAACUUCGUG